rnacentral:rRNA from 1 species
GAUGAACGCUGGCGGCGUGCCUAAUACAUGCAAGUCGAGCGAACGGACGAGAAGCUUGCUUCUCUGAUGUUAGCGGCGGACGGGUAAGUAACACGUGGAUAACCUACCUAUAAGACUGGGAGAACUUCGGGAAACCGGAGCUAAUACCGGAUAAUAUUUUGAACCGCAUGGUUCAAAAGUGAAAGACGGUCUUGCUGUCACUUAUAGAUGGAUCCGCGCUGCAUUAGCUAGUUGGUAAGGUAACGGCUUACCAAGGCAACGAUGCAUAGCCGACCUGAGAGGGUGAUCGGCCACACUGGAACUGAGACACGGUCCAGACUCCUACGGGAGGCAGCAGUAGGGAAUCUUCCGCAAUGGGCGAAAGCCUGACGGAGCAACGCCGCGUGAGUGAUGAAGGUCUUCGGAUCGUAAAACUCUGUUAUUAGGGAAGAACAUAUGUGUAAGUAACUGUGCACAUCUUGACGGUACCUAAUCAGAAAGCCACGGCUAACUACGUG